UUUUAUUUGAGAGUUUGAUCCUGGCUCAGGAUGAACGCUGGCGGCGUGCCUAACACAUGCAAGUUGAGCGAUUUACUUCGGUAAAGAGCGGCGGACGGGUGAGUAACGCGUGGGUAACCUACCCUGUACACACGGAUAACAUACCGAAAGGUAUGCUAAUACGGGAUAAUAUAUUUGAGAGGCAUCUCUUGAAUAUCAAAGGUGAGCCAGUACAGGAUGGACCCGCGUCUGAUUAGCUAGUUGGUAAGGUAACGGCUUACCAAGGCGACGAUCAGUAGCCGACCUGAGAGGGUGAUCGGCCACAUUGGAACUGAGACACGGUCCAAACUCCUACGGGAGGCAGCAGUGGGGAAUAUUGCACAAUGGGCGAAAGCCUGAUGCAGCAACGCCGCGUGAGUGAUGAAGGCCUUCGGGUCGUAAAACUCUGUCCUCAAGGAAGAUAAUGACGGUACUUGAGGAGGAAGCCCCGGCUAACUACGUGCCAGCAGCCGCGGUAAUACGUAGGGGGCUAGCGUUAUCCGGAUUUACUGGGCGUAAAGGG
rnacentral:rRNA from 1 species